rnacentral:rRNA from 1 species
UACAGGGGGUGCAAACGUUGCUCGGAAUUAUUGGGCGUAAAGCGCGCGUAGGCGGCUACUUAAGUCGGAUGUGAAAGCCCCUGGCUCAACUGGGGAAGUGCACCCGAAACUGAGUAGCUUGAGUGCAAAAGAGGGCCGCGGAAUUCCCGGUGUAGAGGUGAAAUUCGUAGAUAUCGGGAGGAACACCAGUGGCGAAGGCGGCGACCUGGGCCAAUAUUGACGCUAAUGUGCGAAAGCGUGGGGAGCAAACAGGG